CCACGCGCCUUUAUGCGCAGGCUCUUCCGACUCGCACAGCCCAGGGAGUGGGGAGGACAAGGCGCUGUCAUGGAGGACGCCGCCACGCCGGGGCGGACCGAGGGGGUCCUUGAAAGGCAAGGAGCGCCGCCAGCUGCAGGCCAGGGAGGAGCCCUGGUGGAGCUCACCCCGACCCCCGGCGGCCUGGCCCUGGUGAGCCCCUACCACACCCACCGGGCCGGGGACCCCUUAGACCUCGUGGCGCUCGCAGAGCAGGUGCAGAAGGCUGAUGAAUUCAUCCGAGCAAAUGCCACCAACAAGCUGACAGUCAUAGCUGAGCAAAUCCAACAUUUGCAAGAACAAGCCAGGAAGGUACUGGAAGAUGCUCACAGAGAUGCCAACCUGCACCAUGUAGCUUGUAAUAUAGUGAAAAAACCUGGCAACAUUUACUAUCUCUAUAAACGGGAGAGUGGUCAGCAGUAUUUUUCCAUCAUUUCUCCAAAGGAAUGGGGGACAAGUUGUCCACAUGACUUCCUUGGUGCCUACAAACUACAGCAUGACUUGUCCUGGACUCCGUAUGAGGACAUUGAGAAGCAAGAUGCUAAAAUCAGCAUGAUGGACACGUUGCUAAGCCAGUCAGUGGCCCUGCCUCCAUGCACUGAACCCAACUUCCAGGGACUGACUCACUGAGAGUGGGCUCUGACAAACAGCUCUCACAGGACCUGGCUGUCAACCUCCUUGUUGCCCCCACUGUUGCCUUGAGAAUUGAAGACAUAUUCUAUGUGAUCUGCCACUCUCAGGACUCAGCAUGUUCCUGCUUUGCUGACCUUGCUGUUCUUCCCACACACCAAGCUCAUUGCUGCUCAUUUACAUUUGCUGUCUCAUCUGCUUGGAGCAUUGCCUCCAAGGUCUUUGCAGGUUUGUGUCUUCUCAUCCUUUAGGUCCCUGCUGAAAUACCACUUCCCUGAUUACCCUAUCAGAAAUACCAACCCUUCUCACAUUAAAGUGGUUCUGAUUCUGCUUUGUUUUCCACAGCAUUUAGCACAACCAGAAAUGAUUUAUGUUUUGCUUCUGUUUAUAAGUUCUCUGAUUAUAAGUUCUGUGAGGA